AUAACUACUAGUCUGCUUGUAAUAGCCAUUCUGAAAGAUGUGAACAGUAUUGUGUAUAUAUACUUAUUUGUUCUAUUUAGCUAUGGAAUAAAUUCAAUUACUAUUAUUUCUACACAUACUCUUUCUUGAUUUUGUUUCCCAUAUUAUUCAGAUGGCUUUUGCACUGAGAGCAAACACAGCUGACAGCGUGGUCCACUCUUGCAGAUGCAGCCCAGAGUAUUUGUCUUCUGAUGGGCCAGUGGUUAAAGGAGUAAGAGGAAGAGGAUCUUUGAAGGGGCAAAGUGGUAAGGAGGGCUCUUCCUGCUUUGCUUGGCACUUCUCCAUUGUGCUGCCUUAUGAAGAAGGUGUCUUGCUUCCCCUUCACCUUCUGCCAUGAGUGUAAAUUUCCUGAGGCCUCCCCAGUCAUGCUGAACUGUGAGUCAAUUAAACCUCUUUCCUUUAUAAAUUACCCAGUCUUAGACAGUUCUUUAUAGCAGUAUGAAAUAGACUAAAAAAAAGACUAAGAAAACCUGCAAAUAUUGAAUGAGCAUGAAGCCUAUAGAAAUAUGAUAAAUUAACUUACAUUGCUUCACAUAACAAGGAAAUAAUAUUUUGUGAAUAUGACUUCUGUAAGACAUAUAUAUUUAAAAUGUACUACCUCUUUUUAGAGAAUGACAGUUAUUGAAAAGAAGACUAUGACCUGUUUGUGUGAAUAAAAAAAGCAACUUCACGAGAUAAGACUAUGACUUAUUUUUGUAAAAAAAAAAAAAAAACAGAUAAACCUAAUUACAUAUUUACCUUCAUAACUCAUUUGACAGUAAAAAAUAGAAAAUAUAUAAUGUAAUUAUGGCAUAAUUAAAAUAUGAUUAUAGCCCAUUUAAAGAUAUUCCUUACAAGAGAAAGUCUCUUUCCCUGAUACUGUAAUCCUUGUGUUCAGUGUAGUCUUAUUAAAAUUGUCUAGUUCUUUUAGGACUUAUACCUAAAUCAUUCUGGAAAACAAAGCUAUGUUGAAGACAUUUUGUUAAAUUAUGGUAAAAUUUACAUACAAUAACUUUCACCAUUAUUAGGUGUACAGUUUGGUAAAUUUUCAAAAAAUGUAUAUAGUCAUAAAUCAAGAUUUGGCUGGGCACAGUGGCUCAUGUCUGUAAUCCUAGUACUUUGGGAGAUGGAGUUAGGAGGGUCACUUGAGGCCAGAAGUCUGAGAACAGCCUGGGCAACAUAGUGAGACCCUAUCCAUACAGAAAAAAAUUAUUAAUUUUUAAUCAAGAUUUAUAUUUCACCAUACCUAGCAGUUUCCAUACAUUCCCUUGUAGUAAGUCUCUUCUUCUCCAUAGACCCUUCCCUACAUUGUCAGGUCCUAGUAAAUGCUCAUGUGUUUUUAUAUCUGUAAUUUUGCUUUUUCAGAAAUGCAAAGUACAGUAAGUUAUUUAUGGCUUCUUUCGUUUACCGUAAUGCUUUUGAGAUGCAUCCGUGUUGUUGCAUUUAUCAGUAGUCAUCUUCUUCUUCUUGCUACACGUUGUCCCACUGUAUGAAUGCACCACAAAUGGGGAGCAUUUACAUCUUUAUCAUUUUAAUCAUCACAAAUGAAGGUCUUAUCAAUAUUCAUUAAAGGUCUUUGUGCUGAUAUAUAUUUUCAUUUAUUUUUGAUAAAUGCUUAAGAAUGGAAGUGCUGGUCAUCAGGUAAGUGUGUACAAAAUUGUAUUAUUGAAAAACUGCCAGUUUAUUUCUAAAGUAGCUGUAUAAUUUCACAUUCCCACCAUAAAAAUGUUAACAGUUCAAAUUUAUUCAUAUGAUCCCAAUACAUUGGUAUUGUCCUUUGAAUUGUAUCAAUUCUUGAAUACUUCUUAGCAGUAACAGGAAUUGUUGUUACAAUGCCAGAAAGUGGGCAGGUGAAUCUCAAGCACUUUCUAUACAUUGAGUGAAAUAAGCCAUUAUAAAAACAAUUGCAUACUGUUUGAUAGAACAUAUACUUAUUUAUCCCUGAAUAUACAAACUGUAAUGAUAGAAAAACAGAUUGUUAAAAUUCAUGAAACUGAACAUGAAAAGAAAAAAACAACAUGAUUAUAUGAUAAUUUAGAUAGAAAUUUAAAAAUGAA
ensembl:lncRNA